UCUGUAAGUAUAAAAGUUAUUUGGGAGUACAGUGUCCUAACACAGUCCUAAAGGUAGAUUCAAGAACAUCACUAAACCUCCAUAAUAUGCUUAGGACAAAAUAUUCUCAGUAGGUGCAUUUGAGUAAUCUAAGCUACAAUUCCUGGGUUCACUAUAAUAGCAUUCACUAUUAGAAGCAUCCUUGACAGCAGUGGACUAAAUGAAUCUCAUUUUGAUUUAGGCUUAAGUUACAGGGUCAUCUUAAUAUUUAAAGAACAUCUGGUUCAUUCUAAAAGACGUUAACUUGAUGGGAGGAAUCCUUUUACAAGGUUUACAGAUAUAAAAUUUAUGACCCUGUACACUUAAAAUACCUUACGUGUUUUGUCAGUUUUAUCUCAAUAAAACUGAGAGUUCAACAUAUGUGGCAUAAUGGUGGGGGGAAAAAGGCUAAAAUGUAUUGUUUGCUAUGGGCUAAACGUGUCUGAAGGACACAGUUUUUUCCCUAUUCCUGGCAUUUCCUUCCUUAGAGAGGAAUAGCCAUUUGUGAAACACUACUGACCUUUCUCUGCUCCCUUAUUGAUGAUUUAUCUGUUUGACAAGUUAACAGAGGAACCAUAUAGUGUAGUUUAGUGCCCUCUUCCGUACCUUCUCUUAAGAGCCACUCAUUUUGAUCCGUCCCUUCACGCAAUAGGUUUCUCAAGGACAGACUCCUAAAUAGGUUAACCCAAGACUGUUCAUGGCCGCCUGUAGCUAGGUGAGUUCACAGAGCUGUCAACUGCACAAUUCUGGUGUACACCCGCCUCCACCCUGAGUUCUCCAUCAUGAAGGCCCUGUAGAGAGAGAGAGAGAGAGAGAGGCUCCAGGCUCUGAGCUAUCAGCACAGAGCCCAACGCGGGACUCGAAAUCAUGAAUUGUGAGAUAAUGACCUGAGCCGAAGUCGGAUGCCUAACCGAUUGAGCCAUCCAGGCGUCCUGCCAUAUGUUUCUUAAUGGACAAAUAUAUUAUUUUCAACAGUCUCUACCCCUGGGAUGACCUAUUCCAUAGUAACUUUUUCAAUGGGACUUAAGUCAUCUUUACAGUUUUGAAAGAUGGUUAUUUCUGUACAAUAUUCAAGUCUUCACGGGUCUGAAUCUAGUCACCUUUCCAGGACAGAUGACAUGAUUGGUAAAAGCCAGUACUAUAAACUUGAACACAAAAACAACCACAAAAUAAGAAUUUUCCUGACCACAUUAUCGCAAGAUUGGUGAUUCUAAUCAAAUGGAAAAAUUCACCAAAAGUGCUCUUUUUAAACUUAUUUCAUAGGAAUAGUAUUAUUUAGCUUCAUUUUAUACCAACCAUCCCAAACCUUAAGUUUGUGGCAUUGUAUUACUUAGUUGUGUAAUAACUUUACCAAACCUCUGAUAUUUAGCAUCACUACAAAAAUAUUUUAACUAUAAUAAACAUUUAUUUAAACCAA